GAUGAACGCUGGCGGCGUGCCUAAUACAUGCAAGUCGAGCGAACGGACGAGAAGCUUGCUUCUCUGAUGUUAGCGGCGGACGGGUGAGUAACACGUGGAUAACCUACCUAUAAGACUGGGAUAACUUCGGGAAACCGUAGCUAAUACCGGAUAAUAUUUUGAACCGCAUGGUUCAAAAGUGAAAGACGGUCUUGCUGUCACUUAUAGAUGGAUCCGCGCUGCAUUAGCUAGUUGGUAAGGUAACGGCCUACCAAGGCAACGAUGCAUAGCCGACCUGAGAGGGUGAUCGGCCACACUGGAACUGAGACACGGUCCAGACUCCUACGGGAGGCAGCAGUAGGGAAUCUUCCGCAAAGGGCGAAAGCCUGACGGAGCAACGCCGCGUGAGUGAUGAAGGUCUUCGGAUCGUAAAACUCUGUUAUUAGGGAAGAACAUAUGUGUAAGUAACUGUGCACAUCUUGACGGUACCUAAUCAGAAAGCCACGGCUAACUACGUG
rnacentral:rRNA from 1 species